AGGUAGUCAAUUCUACCGUUGGCGGCUCAAUUCCCCCCCAACGGUGUCUCUUCCCCUGCCGGUGGCGCAACCCCUACCGGCAGGGUUCCGGGACAUUCCGGUGCUAUGUCACUGACUGCCGGCAAUGUCCUGUUUCUCUUCCUCUUUCCUCUUUUUUUUAUUCUCAACUGAGGGAAGGUGCGUCUCCUCCGCAACCGGGAGAUUCGCCUCCCCUCCCUCAUCCCUAGGAUCCUUCGGUGAGCACCCUUGGUUCCGCAUCUUCUUCCUCUUGCGGCCCUUCUUUGAGGAGUCCUCCGCCUUCUCGGCUGCCUUCGUUCCUUCUUCUACAAAGGUUUUGAAUGACCAUAGAAAGUGCAAGCCCUCUAACUGAAAAAUUGUGGAUUUGUAUAAAGGACACACACAGACAUUUUGCCGUUUAUAUAUAGAGAUAUAGUGGCAUACGUACACUUUUGCUCACCUUGUAAGUAAGUAUGUAUCUAAAUUCUGUACGACUCUUUUACUCUUUCUUUUAGUCCUCCUCAUACUUUUUUCUUUCUUACUUCUUUUCUUGCUCACAUUUCUUGACUUUCUUUUUCUUUAAUCUCCCCACUUUCCCUCCUCGUUUAUUUCUCUUGUACCUAUCUCUAUGUCUUUUUUUUUUAUUUCCUCUCUUUCUUGAUCUUCCCCUAAUUCUUCAAUCCCUCUGCCCCUACUUCUCUCCUUUCCUUCCACAUGACUGAUGCUCGGCCAAGCAUGAUCUUUAUUUCUUGGUUCGACUGCCGGUCUUGAAGCAUCUGUUAUAUUCCUGUCUCAUUACUUUUAUCUCUUAUGUUCUCCUAUGUGCCUGCCUCAAGGCUUUUAUAAGACACAUGCCAGCUCAACUUGAUUCGUCCUUAUUAGUUGAAAGAUACCUGUUGUUAUUUUCUUGGUGUUUGUAUUUGUAAUUGUGUAACAUGUUCUUCUUUCUUUGUCUUUGUUGUUGUACAAAUUUGCUUGCUUUCUCCCCAAAAAUGUAAUGCUCUUAGCUUAGAUUUUUAGGGUCAGCCAGAUUUGAACAGUCUCAAGUAUAACCAGCCGAAACUGUAAGGAUAAUCUGGAAACUUGACUGAUGAGAGAAGGCUGCGAAUGACCCGUCCUUAUCUUUUCCUGUCCAUCAGUUUGUUGUUUUUCCUUUCCAUCUUUGUAUUGUCUAUCUGUCCGGAUGUUUUAUUGUCACCUGUUGCGUUCUUGUUCCAUUCUUUGGAUUUGUGUGUGUGUGUGUGUUUAUAUUAUGUCCCUGUAACUUAGCUGUUCGGCAACAGAGAUUGAUAGAAUAAGUACAAAGUUUACAAAGAAUAAGCCCUGAGAUCGAUUUCUUCGACUAAAACCCUUUCAGGUGGUGCUCCAGAAAGGCCGCAGUCAAAUGACUGAAGCUAGUAAAAGAGUAAAAGAAUAUAUACCUGUGUGUGUAUGUGUGUGUGUGCGUGCGUGCGCGUGUGUGUGUGUGUGUCUGUGUGUGUGUGUGUGUGUGCGCGCGCGCGCGUGUGUGCUAGGAGUAGUAUGCCCCAGUAACUUGACGCGAUUCGGCAUAAGAGACAUGAAAGCAUAUGAACUACGCUUUAAAAAAUAAGUAUGGGGGCCGAUUCGUGGGACUAUAAACCUUCAAGGCAAUGCCCCAGUAUGGUCGCAGUCCAAUGACUGAAACAAAUAGAAAGAUGAAAGAUGUAAAGACACCAUAAGGUAGAUAUGUAUAUCAUAACCGCUACGGAUAAAGGUAGAUAACUAAAUGAGAACAGAAAGUUAUUUCCCUUGAAUAGUUCGUCUUUGCAAAGAGCAUUCAUCCCUGUUCAAGACAAAAACAGUUACGGCUGAUGUUAAACACGUGAUAGAAUUUAUUAUGAGAAUAUUACAGGGAAGAGGCAAAUUGAUAAAAUAAGAACAAGGAAAGUAAAAUCAGAGUAGCACGAGAUAAUAGUUAAACGGUAAUAAACAUCGCUUUCAUGCGGCUUUUCAAACAUGGUUAGAUCUCCCCACCACAUACAUACGUACGUACGUACAUACAUACAUACAUACAUACAUACAUACAUACAUACAUACAUACAUACAUACAUACAUACAUACAUACAUACAUACAUACAUACAUACAAAAUCCCCGUUGAUAUUGUUGAAAUUCCAAUAAAGGAGCCUGAUUUAGGUUAGAAACUGGCUCUUUCUCUUUGGCAAGAAAUCUUGAAAUAAAGCUGAAUAAUGACAUACAUACAUACAUACACACACACAUAAUUUCCACAUAGACAGAGACGUAGACCGCCUCUACCUAAAACGAAAACAAGGUAGUAGAGGCUUUACAUGGAUCCAAAAUGCCUUUGAAUGUCGUAUCAUAUCCCUUCGGCAACAUCUUUUAACCGCCAAGUCUUGAAGUGCAUCUCUUGACUGAGUUUGCAUACAUGAGACUGAUUACAUCAUAAGACUUGGAAGGCGACUCCUUGAGCAACAUUCCUGGUCUGAUAGCCUAAAAAUACAUGCCCAAAGAAGUCACACAGCUCUACCACAACAUAUCAUCAGAUGAAAGGAUGUGACUAUAUGGGUAGAAGACUACAUAUGGAUAUGUUAGUAGAAAGCUCCGAGAUGGUAGUAACAUUGAUCAUCAAAGCAGUGUAUUAUGGACCAAUAGCCAGAUUACUACCUCCCACUCUGAAGGGUAUGUUUUUGCAAUCCAAGAACAGGAAAUAUCAACCAAAUACCUGAUACACAAAAGGGCUAGAGAUGCAGGAAAAGCAGUAAAAUGUGACAACUGAUGCAGGCUUUGUGGAGUUAUCACUGAAGAUAUCACCCACAUCAGUUGCCUGAAAAUGUCAUCACAGUAUUAUCUACAUAUGAGGCAUGAUGCUGUAGCUGGGACUCUUUAUAAUAAAAUCCGUCAGAAAGAUAACCUUCAGGUCAAACAAAUAAGAAUCCACAAUAUGGUAGAAGCCAUAGCCACUCAUAAUAAAAAGGAGUACUGGUGGAGACCUCAAUAAAAUGUAAAGACCUCAAUAAAAUGUAAGCACAACAGACCUGAUAUAAUGAUUUGGGAUAGAGAAGAGAAACUGUGCACAGUUAUGGAAAUUAGCUGCCCAGCUGACAUUAACAUAAAACUGAAGAUCUGUGAAAAAGAGAAUACCUACACUGAACUAUUUAGAAAUCUGCAGUUACUAAAUCCAGAUUACAAGUUCAGGUUUGUACCUAUAAUUAUUGGGACCCUGGGAUAUGUAACACACUGCCUAAAUACCAAUCUUGAGAAAUUAAGCUUCUCAAAACCCAAAGGGAGAAAGCUAAUUUGAAGACUUACAGUUCCAAUCCAUUACUAGAACUGUAAAAAUAUUUAGAACUUUUCAGAAGUUUUUCAUUUAAAUAUAUAUGAACAUGUCUAAAUAUGCAACUAUAUGCAUGAGAAUACAUACAUAAAACAAAGCAUACCAAUCUGCACACAUACAUAUAUGCAUGCAUACAUACAUACAUACAUACGUACAUACAUACAUACAUACAUACAUACAUACAUACAUACAUACAUACAUACAUACAUACAUACAUACAUACAAAAACACUCUAUUGUUGAUGUUGAAAUCCCAACGAAGGAGCCUUGGAUCUAGGUUAGAAACCAGCUCUUUAUUGACAAGAAAUGUUGAAAUAAAACCGAAUAAUGACAUGCAUGCAUACACACACAUACAUGCAUACAUACAUACAUACAUACAUGCGAUUCUCAAAAUGAUAUAGGGUUGGAGUUUGAUCAGGAUAAAUGUUGCUAUGUGGUUGUGAAAAGAGAGAAAACAGUAAACCAGACUACCAGCAUCUCCAUAAAUAGUUUAACUGUUUUUCGUAUACAGUUUUAUAUUUAAGAGGUGAGGAAUUAUGUACAUUAUUUACAAUUGACAGAUAUUUGUCCUCAUCUUGUUUGUUUUGAACACAAUGUUUCAGCUGAUAUACCCUCCAGCCUUCAUCAGGUGUCUUGGGGAAAUUUCAAACCUGAGUUCUCGUUCCUAAGGUAUUUUUUGAUGUUGUUAUUAUUAUCAUUAUUAUUAUUAUUAUUAUUAAGGACACUGCCUGGAAUCGAACUCGGAAUCUUGGGGUUAGUAGCCCACACUCUUAACCACUAAGCCAAUAAUAACAACAAUAAUAACAACAACAUCGAAAAAUACUUUAGGAAUGAGAACCCAGGUUCGAAAUUUCCCCAAGACACCUGAUGAAGGUUGGAGAGUAUAUCAGCCAAAAACGUUGUGUUAACAACAAACAAGAUGAGGACAAAUAUCCAUCAAUUGUAAAUAAAGUUUUUCCUAUAUCUGAUGAGGAAUCUUGCAAGUACCUAGUAGAAGAGGAAAACAUAUUUUACGAGGGUUACUUAUAACAAGACACAUAUCACUUAAGAAUAUUACAGCCAAAUAAGGAAAAUAUGGCCCUGAGAACUCUUUGCAUUAAUAAAACAAUGGCCCACAAUGUAUUUGCAGAACCAGUAUUCAUACCAACAUUUGGACUACUUGAUUGGAUGCUUGGUAAGAUCCAAGCCAUUGAUGAGAAAACCUCUAUCUAAAAUGAAAACAAGAGGUAGGCGCAGGAGUGGCUAUAUAGGCGCAGGAGUGGCUGUGUGGUAAGUAGCUUGCUUACCAACCACAUGGUUCCGGGUUCAUUCCCACUGCAUGGCACCUUGGGCAAGUGUCUUCUACUAUAGCCUCGGGCCGACCAAAGCCUUGUGAGUGGAUUUGGUAGACGGAAACUGGAAGAAGCCCGUCGUAUAUAUGUAUAUAUAUAUAUGUGAAAUAGAAAGAUGAAUAAUCUUGUUGCAGAUUAAUCAAAAGUUUAACCGAUACCUUGGUAGCAAAAAUCACAGCAGAAGACAGCACGGUUGGAGGUACAACCAUAUGGUGUUGCAACCGUGCGUUGGUGCGGAUAAUUGAAUAUUAAUAUUAUUAGUGAAUUGAAGAAAUGGAGUUGAACGAAGAUUGAACAAUAUAUAUAUGUAUGUGUGUGUGUUUGUGUGUCUGUGUUUGUCCCCCUAGCAUUGCUUGACAACCGAUAGUGGUGUGUUUACGUCCCUGUAACUUAGCAGUUCAGCAAAAGAGACUGAUAGAAUAAGUACUGGGCUUACAAAGAAUAAGUCCUGAGGUCGAUUUACUCGACUAAAAGGCAGUGCUCCAGCAUGGCCGCAGUCAAAUGACUGAAAGAAGUAAAAGAGUAAAAGAGAAUAAAGAGUAGAGGCUUAAACAUUGAUCCAGACUGACUUUGAAUUUGAUAUCCUAUCCCUUCAGCAACAUUUCUUAACUACCAAGAAUCAAACUCCAUCAUGAGACUUGGAAAGCAGUUCCUCCAGUAACAUUCUUUGUCUGAUAACCUUAAAUACAUGCCCAAAGAAGUUGCCCAACUCUACUGCAAUGUAUCCUCAAAUGAAAGGAUGAGUGUAUAUAAAGAGAAGACAAUACAUGAAUAUGUUAGGAUAAAGCUCCAGGAUAACAAUAACAUUGAUAAUCAAAGCAUUCCAUCAUCAACUCUCGUUUGAAUGGUGUGUGUUGCCAUCUAGGAACGGGAAAUAGCAAGCAAAGAUCUGAUGCACAAAAGGGACAGAGACACAGAAAAAUAACAAAAUGUGAUAACAAAUGCAGACUUUGUGGAGUUAACACUGAUGAUAUCACCCACAUCAUUUAAUUUGUUUUAGGCAAAUGCCUCAGAAUAUGCUCACAAAAAAUCCUGUGCUUCUUGUUGUUAGCCUCCACUUGCUUUUCUCAUCGCCAGCAUAAUCCUGUGGGAUGGUUAUAUAUGCAGAACUCCUUACAGCUUAGUAUAAAUAUAAUGAUGAUGAUGAUGAUGAUGAUGAUGAUGAUGAUGAUGAUGAUGAUAACUUGUGGAUGGAAAUUUCUAUACUCUAUUAAUGUAAACAAUACAUGUAUAAACUUAUAUGAUAUAUACAUACAUACAUACAUCAGUGAAAAAGAGAAUACCUAUGCUGAACUAUUGAGAAAUCUGCAGUUACUCUAUCCAGAUUACAAGUUCAGGUUUAUACCUGUAAGCAUUGUGGCCCUGGGAUAUGUAGCACACUGCCUAAAUACCAAACUUGAGAAAUUAGGCUUCUCAAAACCAGAAAGGAGAAAGCUAAUCCGAAGACUACAGACCUAGUCCAUCACUCGAUCUAUAAAAAUCUGUAAAAACUUUCCAGAAGUUUAUCAUCUAAAUAUAUAUAUGAGCAUGUCUAGUUAUGCAACUAUAUGCAGGAGAAUACAUAAAGCAAAACAUACAAAUCUGCACAUAUACAUAUAUACAUACAUACAAACAAACAAAAAUGCCCUGUUGUUCAAGUCAAAAUUAUGAUGAAGGAGCCUUGAAUCUAGAUUAGAAAUCGGCUCUUUCUCUAUUGGCAAGAAGUCUUGAAAUAAAACUAAACAAUGACAUGCAUACAUACUUACAUACAUACAUACAUACAUACAUACAUACAUACAUACAUACAUACAUACAUACAUACAUACAUAUGUGUGUGUGUAUGUAUGUAUGUCUUCUCUUUCUCUUUUUAAUUUAGAGUAAGUUUUGACUGGCCACCAACUUGACAGCAAGGUUGUGAAGGAAAGUAUCUUGAUUUUACUGUCAUCCUUUAAAUCUUAUGAAGGGUUUGCAGAUUUUUAUAGUCUCAAACAGAUAUCAUAAUCAUUUGUAGUGUAUGAAUUAAGAAUUUGCAUUCUCUCCCCAAGAGAGCCAUACUUUGCUCUAGGUGGGUUGGUAUGUAUCCUAUUGCUCCAAUAAUAAUAGGCAUCAAGUUGAAAGUGUAUUUCGGCACUGGAUUUACAAACUCCUUCUCAAUGGUCCAUAGAUGGUCUCUUUCUCUUGUAUUUUUCUAACCACAUUCAUAUCCAGGAGGCAACUGAUUUCCACAACAGAACAUCUCUUUUCUUUGUGGUCCCUCACGGCGAGAACUGCCCAGUUGUGUUUUAACCUAGUGGCUCUUUUAAUUUUCAAGUUCUACCUGUAUUCUUCUAACUCAUUGGUUUCAAUAUGGUCAACUUCAUAUGUUAUGUUAUCCCUGAGGGUCCAUAUAAGAUUUUGAGACACCACACAACAAAAUAGUAAAUUGGGGAUCCACAAUAAUAAUCUAAGGGUCCCUGGAAAAAUUUUGCUUUAGAUGUAUGUAUUGGCAUGUACUGCAAGAAACAGCUGGCUUCUUUCUUUAAUGUUUUACAUAGUUCAGUCUACAUAAGCUAAUGUGAGAAAAACAAAACAGGGAGUUUGAAAGAAGUUUCUAUAAAACUGGUUUUUAAAAAGCAAAUGUCUAUGGGGGUCCACCAGAAUAAAAUAGUAAUCAAAGGAGUCAAUAGACAAAAAAAAAUAUGGCUGAGAACCCUACUCUAUACUAACAAAUUUCUGUUAUUUCUGAAACCACACAUUCUAGAGCAACUGAUACAUAUUUCAAUAUCCUUUCUUACAGUACAAGUCUGGAUUAAGCAAUAGUUGAAUGAUACAAUUUUUAAAAGAAAUGCAUGCAAGCAGGUAAUUUAGUUUGGUAAUUACAUGUUAAGUAAUUUUGGAGUUUAGGUAGGUUUUCUUUGCCUUUAACAUCGGACAUCUAUUUAAAGUGGCAAUACAGUUAAAAAAAUACAGGGUUACAUUGAUGGAUUAUGAUAAAAAAAGCUUCAUCAAAACACAUGAAAAGCCAUCAUAUACACACACACACACACAUAUAUAUAUAUAUAUAUAUGGCCGUUGCCAGCCUUGCCUGGCCCCCAUGCCGGUGGCACGUAAAAAGCACCAUGCGUCCGUGGCCGUUUGCCAGCUCCGUCUGGCACCUGUGCAGGUGGCACGUAAAAAGCACCCACUACACUCACGGAGUGGUUGGCAUUAGGAAGGGCAUCCAGCCGUAGAAACACUACCAGAUCAGACUGGGCCUGAUGCAGCCUUCUGGGUUCACAGACCCCAGUUGAACGUCCAACCCAUGCUAGCAUGGAAAACGGACGCUAAAUGAUGAUGAAGAUGAUGAUGAUAUAUAUAUAUAUAUAUAUAUAUAUAUAUAUAUAUAUAUAUAUAUAUAUAUAUAUAUAUAUAUAUAUAUAUAUCAUAGCUGCACCGUCGUUGCAUGAGAAAAGCCAUUGCCAAAAAGACUUACUGAAAUGAUACAUUAUUGAUGCCAUGAGAUGACCUUAUAUGACUUUUAAGCCAAGGCCAAACUUUUACACAUUUUAUUACAUACUGGAUAACUGUGCUGGCUGGCAGGAGAAACAGGUGCCACCAUAGUACUCUUUUAGCAUGUCUUUUCAGACCUCCAGCUGAGAGGCACACCCCUCCACGUUUUACACGUUCUGUUGUGAAUUUUAAUAGUCACAUCACUGUUUAUAUAGCCAGUUCCAGGGAAAUAACUCUUAAAAGUAAAAUCGUGGUUGUCUCACAUAGGUCAUUGCUUUAUAUCAGCUUCACGUGCGUGCGCGCGUUCCGAAACCAGAUGUAUAUAUGCAACAAUGAUUGAUUGCGUUGAGAAAGAUAUAAUACUGGCUAGAGAUAAAAUAAGCCUAAACUCAGCUACUGGCCUUCAUGAACUCUCAGCAAUCGCUUUGAAAACAUGUAAACGAGCCCAAACAAAGCGACUAGUUUCUCUUCCAGAGUUUCUGUUGUAGUGGAAAUGGUACAGCCCCUCCCACGGAACUAGUGGAAUGAAACAGCCUCUAUAAAGUGAGACGACGUCAACCAGUACAGUGGGGCCGUGUGUCAGUCGUUGUAUGAGUUCUCAGCUGGAGUUGUGUUAGUUACUUGUUAUAGUCGAGUUCAAGUCACAGUCAAGAGAGACAGUUCAAGUUCGGUGUCUUGCAGAGCUAUCAGCGACAGCUCGAUAGACGAAGUGGUGUAUUACCAUUCUGGUAUAGAAGAGAUACACUGUAUCGAAUACCAAGGAAAUAUCGUGGCUACUAGAACUGAUACAACAACUACAUUCACAACAGUGACCACACAUUAUAAUUGUGGAAAAUACCACAUCAUAACAGUUUUCUUGCAAGUGCCAAGCUUAUAUGGUGGCAUAAUAUAUAUAUAUUGUCAAUAAAAUAUAUAUAUAUAUAUAUGUAAGUUUCAUUAAAAAAAAUCUUUUGAUUUAUAUAAUGGUAAUAUAUUGGUAAAAUUCUUGAUUAUAAGUGUAUAUAUUAAAAAUAUUUGGGUUCAAGAUAUUCUAUUUAGAAAUAUGUAUCAAAAAGUUGAUCAGUAAAUUUUCUAAAAUUGGUCUGUAUAAAUUUAAAAUUGGUCAGCACAAACCUAAAAUUGGUCAGUACAAAUCUAAUAUUGGACUGUACAAAUCUUAAAUUGGAUGGUACAAAUCUAAAAUUGAUCAGUACAAAUCUAAUAUGGUCAGAACAAAUCUAAAGGCUAAAGCAAUGCAGUUGCUUCAAAUUAUAGGACUAUCUCAUUGACCUCACAUAGCAAAAUCAUGGAAUGGAUAGUCAGAAGAAAAUAACCAUACUGCUAGAAGAAAAUGACAAGUUUUCCAACCUAAAGAAGCUUUCUGACACAACUCCUAUAGUUAUUCAAAAACUUAAACGAGGAUAAGGAUAUAUCUUGAUUUUGUGAAAAGACAUAAAAAUCAAUAGAAACUGCAGUUGUGAUCCCUGUGCCAGUGGCAUGUAAAAAGCACCACCUGAAUGUGGCCAAUGCCAGUGCCACCUAGACUGGCUUCCGUGCCGGUGGCACGUAAAAUGCACCAAUCCGAUCGCAGCCGUUGCCAGCCUCGCUUGGCACCUGUGCAGGUGGCACGUAAAAAGCACCCACUACACUCACGGAGUGGUUGGCGUUAGGUAGGGCAUCCAGCUGUAGAAACACUGCCAGAUCAGACUGGAGCCUGGUGCAGCCUUCUGGCUUCCCAGCUCCCCGGUCAAACCGUCCAACCCAUGCUAGCAUGGAGAACAGACGUUAAACGAUGAUGAUGAUGAUGAUUCAAUAAAAGUUGAACAGAAAGUGAUAUGUCAUCAACUGCAUCAUCUCAACAAAGCCAGAAAACCAGUGGAGUGGCUGUAUGACAUUCUAAAAGACAGAAGCUAUGAAGUAGUAGCAACAAGAACAUCUCCAAAGAAAUUUCCGAAUAACAAGAAGUCUCCUGCAGGGCACUGUCUUGGGACCACUGCUGUUCAUAGUGGUUUGCUCAGAUAUCCCCUCAGCUAUUCAAUCAUCCUCACUAGCUAUGCACAUUGUACAAAAGUAUUGCAGGUAAAAAAAGAACUUUGGGGAUGCUACAUACCUGUAAUAUAAGUGGGCUUCAGAAAAUAACAUGCAAUACAAUGCUAGAAGGAGGGCAGACAAAGUACACUGGAUCAGGAGGGAUUGCAGUCACAGAGUCACAACCAGUAAAUGCCCUGAACAUUUAACUUGAGUAAUGAUGAAUUUUUUUUUCAUGUACAUAUUGCUCAGAUUGCACCAAAAUAUAGACAGCUAGAAGGACUAGCACCAAACUUUGGCAUUGAAAGCUAUACUAAACAUUUAACAUACUCUCAUGGCCUAUAUAUAUAUAUAUAUAUAUAUAUAUAGUUGAAAUAGGAAAACAAAAGAUGAAAACAGGUGCAUGAACAACAAGCAGGUGUAUUAGUUUGAUACUGGAGAAAAUGAAAAAGUCUUUUGUUUCGAGCCUAUGCUCUUCAACAGAAAGGAAUAAGAGAGUCACUGCGUGGCACCUUGGGCAAGUGUCUUCUACUAUAGCCUCGGGCCGACCAAAGCCUUGUGAGUGGAUUUGGUAGACUGAAACUGAAAGAAGCCCGUCGUGUAUAUGUAUAUAUAUAUAUAUAUAUAUAUAUAUAUAUAUGUGUGUGUGUGUGUGUGUGUGUGUGUGUGUGUGCAUGUGUGUUUGUGUGUCUGUGUUUGUCCCCCUAGCAUUGCUUGACAACCGAUGCUGGUGUGUUUAUGUCCCUGUCACUUAGCGGUUCGGCAAAAGAGACCGAUAGAAUAAGUACUGGGCUUACAAAGAAUAAGUCCCGGGGUUGAGUUGCUCGAUUAAAGGCGGUGCUCUAGCAUGGCCGCAGUCAAAUGACUGAAACAAGUAAAAGAGUAUAUAUACGCAGAGUAGACGAAACAGAGACAACAGAAGAAGGGGAAUAUUCCUUUUGUCGUAUGUCUUGUACUCUGUUUUUAUGUUGUUUGAAAAAAAAGAAAGUUCAUUUCCAUAUUUUUGUUUUUAUGUUUUCGUUUCUCAUUGUGUUCAACGUUUUUUUUUGGUGUCCUGUACCCAUAUAUGCAUGUAUAUAUACAUAUAUAUGUAGGUAUGUACAUAUAUGUAUGAAUAUAUGCAUAUGUUUAUAUAUUAUUUAUGUUAUUAUAUAUAUAUAAAUAUAGAUAAAUAGAGACAGACAGACAGAAAGACAGAGAGGAGGAGGGGAGAUAGAUGCAUAGAUAGACAGAUACUGAUGUGAGUAUGUGUGUGUUUGUUGAGUUGAAAUUAAUUCAUGCAAGAUUUCAUAGCUCUAGCAUCAUUCCUCUAGCAUCAUAUACACACACACACUCACACACACACACACACACACACAAGCAGGCACACACACACGCGCACGCGCACGCACAUGCACACACACACACACACACACACACACAGUUUAACAAUCUGAAUGGAGGCAAUGCAAGCAGAAACUAGAAGAACAUAAUUAAUAACCAUACACAAAAUCAAAUAUAUACAUGUAUUCAUCUACAUUUAUAAAACUGAUAUAAAAAUUCCAAAUAUAUAAAUAUAAAAAUAUAUAUAAAUAAAUAAAUGUCGAUAUGAUACAUAAAACAAAGUGAAUUUUAGAUUUAAAAGUUACAAUACAUUAGUGUAAUAAAAAUUUGAGGUGUUAAAACAUUAAAAGGACGUACUAAAAUACCACGAAAGUAUUACAAAAAUUUUUUGUUCCAUCUACGGGCCGUUUCAGAGACAUGCCAUGAUAUAUUUACUUGGCACGUCUCUGAAACAGCCCAUAAAUGGAAGCAUGGAAUGCUUCUGACAACUAACAACUAACAACUGAUGACAACUAACAACUGAUGCCUGCAGUUUGUUCCAUACUUCAGCAACCCUUAGCGUGAAAAAAUGUUUCCGAAAGUCAUGGGAGCUGUGCUGUUUUCUGACUUUGUAAACACAAUCCAUGGGUGUUAGACAGGUCAAGUUUGAAAAGGUGCUCAGAGUUAUUGUUAGUAAGACGGCUACUAAUUUUAUGGGUGUCUGCCAAGUCAGUUGCCAGAUGUAGUUUCAAUGUAUCCAUGUUGCCAUAGUUUCAAUGUAUCCAUGUCCAGGGAAGUAAGGCGUUCAGAAUAUGGCAAAUGCCUGAUGGAGGGUAUUCUCUUAGUUGCACGUCACUGAACGGUUUCCAGACGAUUAAUAUCCUGGGCAAGAUAGGGGUUCCAGACCGGUGAUGCAAAUUCCAGGUGAGGCCACACCAUAGCUAUAUAAGGCCUCAGAUAGACAGCCGGAGAAUGGCUCACAAAGGACUUGGUAAGUGAUGCCAAGACACCCUCAGCCUGCUUGGCAAUUUUAGCAAUGUGUUUUGUCCAACGCAAAUCGCUGUCGACAAUAAUGCCCAGAUCACGUUCACAAGAAGACUUUCUGAGAUUAGUGUUGUGGAGGGAGUAAGUAGAUGCUGGGUUUUUCCUCCCAAAAUGCAUGGUGGUACAUUUGUCUACAACCUGCUUGAGUUGCUAGUCCAUGAUCCACUGCUGCAUUGUGUCCAGGUCUGAUUGUAAUAAAGAUCUAUAGUGUACAGGAUCUGUCCUCUUUAUUUUGUAGUACAGCUUGAUGUCAUCUGCAUAUUUCAGCACUGUGGCACUCUUUGUUUCCCUUUAUGGUAGAAUGAAUUUAGGGAAAAAUGUAUAUCUAAAACCUACUAUAAUUUAGAGAGUAGCAGAGGAAAAUAAUCAGGUGUCAAGAAAAAGGAAUGGUGAGAUAGUUCCUUUUUUUUUGACACCCACUAUUUUCCUCUGCUACUCUCUAAUUUAUAAAAGGCUUUAGACAUACAUUUUCCCCUAAAUUCAUUCUGCCAAAAUAUAGCAAAGGGAAACAAUGUAAUUAUUUUGGUUUCUAGUAGUAAUGUAAAUUGUGCUAAAAGAAAUGGUUUAUCCUUUAUAUUGGAAAUCUAUAUAGUUGUCUGCUUCUGAGGAGAGCAGUUGUGUUCAAACUGAUUUCAUGUUUUCAUUGAUCGAUUUAAUGGAGCCACUUGAAACAGCUGUAAUUCAUUAAUACCUGGACAUCCUUGUUACUUAUUUGCUUUUUUUUCAUAUAACUGUAUAUAUAUAUAUAUAUAUAUAUAUAUAUAUAUAUAUAUAUAUAUAUAUAUGUACCUAUAUAUAAUAUACAUAUAUAUACAUAAUGUGUGUAUGUAUAUAUAUAGUGUCAAUGUGUGUGUAUGUAUACAUAGAUAAAUAGAUAUGUAUUUGUAUAUGUAUAUGGAUGGAUGGAUAGAUAGAUAGAUAGAUAAAUAGAUAGAUAGAUAGAUAGAUAGAUAGAUAGAUAGAUAGAUACACACACACAUACAUAUUUACAUACAUGUAUAAAUACAUUUAUAGGCACAUAUACAUACACAUGCACACGCACAAGCACACACACACACACAGCACACACACACACACACACACAAACACAAACGCACACACAUUUAUCUAUAUAUAAGGGUAAGACCCAAGGAUCCAAGAGUAGGAAGUUUGUAAGCUUCAAGCAUGACAGAUGCAGAAAAUAAAAAGUGGACAGUGUACGGUCAGGAACAACAACAAUUUAUUGGCGAUAAAGGCUACACACAUUUUCCCAUAUUGAAGUUACAAAGAAGUGCAAUAAGCUCAAAGUUUCUGUAUAGCUCAUGAUUAGCAUAUAGAGUUGUUAGAAAUGUGAAUAAAAAUUCAAAUUGAGGGAGUGAAAUGGGUAAAAUCCAGGCUACAUGUAUUUCUUAGCUAGCUGAUUCUCUGAUGUAACAAUUACACAAGGGGUACUCAGCUGAGCUAUUCAUCAGGCCAAGAACAAUUUAAUUUCAUAAAGGUUACAUUGUUGCUCGGGAAUCUCAAGUGACAAUGUAACCUUCAUGUAAUUAAUGUAUUCUCAGCCUGAUGAAUUGCUUAGCUGAGUACAACAACAACCUAAAUAACAUUAAUAAAUUAGAUAGGGUCAUAUAUAGCAAAUCAUUUUAUCUAGGCGCAGGAGUAGCUGUGUGGUAAGUAGCUUGCUAACCAACCACAUGGUUCCGGGUUCAGUCCCACUGCGUGGCAUCUUGGGCAAGUGUCUUCUGCUAUAGCCCCGGGCCGACCAAUGCCUUGUGAGUGGAUUUGGUAGACAGAAACUGAAAGAAGCCUGUCGUAUAUAUGUAUAUAUAUGUAUGUGUAUAUGUAUGUGUGUCUGUGUUUGUCCGCCUAGCAUUGCUUGACAACCGAUGCUGGUGUGUUUAUGUCCCCGUCACUUAGCCGUUCGGGCUUACAAAGAAUAAGUCCCGGGGUCGAUUUGCUCGACUAAAGGCAGUGCUCCAGCAUGGCCGCAGUCAAAUGACUGAAACAAGUAAAAGAGUAAAAGAGUAAAAGAGACACAGGCUAGUGGUCUGCCAGGAUAACAAUCCCAUGAUAUCAAAUUUCAUUUAGUGGGUGAAAAUUUAUUUAACCACAAGACAACAAUAGAAAGGAAAUAAAACUAUAAAAUUGAUAACUUUCACAAUUACCCAACAGCCAAAGGAUAAUGAGGAUUACUCUUGAUGUUUGUAGCGGUGGGGUAGUGUGCUAAAUGGUAGGAUAACUUAAAUCACUUCCCAGCUAAUACACCUGCUCCAUGUGACCUUAGAGUGUGUAAACAAGGGAAAAGAAAUGCAUGUGCCCUAAAGAGUUAAAGUAAAAAUUAAGAAUUUAGAGUUUAAUUAAAAAGUGGUCAGGAGAAUUAUAAACUAUAUUAGUUAAAACAAAUAUGGCUUAGGUGAAAUGAAGAUAAUUAGAAAAAAAGGGAUAAUAUUUAAAAAAUCAAAUAGAGAGACUAUGAAUAAAUAGAUAAAUAAAUAAGAUGUAAAGACAGAAAAUUAAUACUUAGCUAGUGAUAUACAGGGUGGACCAAAAUGAUCUGACACAUUUGGAGGCUUAACACAAAAUAAGAAAUAAUGAAAAGAAAAAUUUUAUUUUCUGAAUGCACAUAUAAUGCCAUUUUAUUUCAUUAAGUUUUAAAAAUUAAAUCAGCUAAAUGCUUCCCAUCAUUGUCAACACACUGUUGGAGACAUUCAUGAAAGUUAUCGAUAACUCUAUGGAUCAUUUCUUCUGGAAUGGUUGCUAUUUCUACACAAAUUGCCCAUUUUAAUUCAUCAAUAGAUCGAGGGCAAUGACUGAAUACUUUUGAUUUUAAGUAUCCCCACGAGAAGAAAUCACAUUUCACCAUUCCAGAAGAAAUGAUCCAUAGAGUUAUCGACAACUUUCAUGAAUGUCUCCAACAGUGUAUUGACAAUGAUGGAAAGCAUUUAGCUGAUUUAAUUUUUAAAACUUAAAAGUAAGAAAACAGCACAGCUCCCAUGACUUCAGGAAACAUUUUUUCACGCUGAGAGUUGCUGAAGCAUGGAACAAACUGCCGGCAUCAGUUGUUAGUUGUCGGAGCACUGCAUCCUUCAAAACUUCCAUGCUUCCUGAGAUUCGCCAAUACUACACUUGAUUUUCUCCCCUCCAUACACACACAAGCAUGUAUCUGACUCAUACAUUGUUCGUUUUCCAGACAUUUCUACAUUACUGCAUGUACUUUAUAUGCACUUUCUGACAAGUUGUGGUGCACCUGAGCACUGUAUACAAUUAAUUUCAUUAUAUCAUUAUAUUAUAUAUAAAAUGGCAUUAUAUGUACAUUCAGAAAAUAAAAUUUUUCUUUUCAUUAUUUCUUAUUUUGUGCUUUUAUUAAGCCUCCAAAUGUGUCAGAUCAUUUUGGUCCACCCUGUAUAACUAAUAGCCCUAUGAAGGAGACUGAGGGUAAAGUGAUUAGGGUAAGUAAUUAAUGUAUUGCAUUUAACAAUUAAAACAAAAUUACAAAAUUGAAAUAUUAAAUUAAUUAAGAUCAGGAGUCUAGAAUCAGUGAAGUUAAUAAAUAAAAUAGAUAUUAGUUAUGUAGUAUGUUGCUAAAUCCGGGUGGAUGUGUCCUAAAGAGUUAAAGCAGAAACUAAGAAUUUAGAGUUUAAUUAGAAAGUGGUCAAGAAAAAUAUAACUGCAUAAACUAUGUUAGUAUGAAUAAAUAUGACUUAUGUUAAUUGAAGAUACAUAUCUAUCUUCAUCAUCAUCAUCAUCAUUGUUUAACAUCUGCUUUAUAUGUUGGCAUGAUUUGGAUGGUUUGACUAAGAACUGGCAAACCAGGCUCCAAUCUGAUUUGACAAGGUUUCUACAGCUGGAUGCCCUUCCUAACCCUGGCCACUCCAAGAGUGUAGUGGGUGCUUUUACAUGCCACCAGCAUGGGAGCCAGUCGGGGGCACUGGCAUCAGUGACACUCGAAUGGUAAAUUUUACAUGCCACUGGCACAGGUGCCAGUCAGACGGCACUAGCAUCAGCCACACUCGAAUGGUACUUUUUACAUGCCAUCAGCACAGGUGCCAGUCAGCCAGCACUGUCAUCAGCCAUGACUACGAUUUCACUCAGUUCAACAGUUUCUUCACAAGCAUGGCAUAUUGCCCAACGAUUGAAGGGUUCUUUUGUAAAUGGGUUAACUAUGUGACACUGGCAUUGACCCAACUACAAUCUCACUUAGCUUGCUGGGUCUUCUCAAGCACAGCAUGUCUCCAAAGGUCUUAGUUGCUUGUCAUUGCCUCUGUGAGGCCCAACAUUUGUAUGUUAUGCUUCACCACCUCAUCUCAUGUCUUCCUCAGUCUACCUCUUCCACAGGUUCCCUCCAAUGAUAGGGUGUGACACUUCUUCACACAGCUGUCCUCAUCCAUAUGCAGCACAUGACCAUACCAGCACUGAAUAAUACCAAUGGUUCUUUACUUAGAAGACUAUUUUGCAAUGAAUUCCCACUAAAUAUCAACUUCUGCAACUUUUAGACACCCCGUUUUACUCGUGCUCCCCCAUUUACUCUAUCAGUUAUGCUCCCCACUUUUGAGGUAUUGAAAUUUAAAAUAUUUGGGAUAUUGAAAUUUAAAAGAAAAACACCAACAGUAAUAAUUGUUAUAUUUUCAGUAUUAUUAGCAACACUGACUAAACUAUUGGUAACGCUUUAAUCAUAAAGGUUUAAAAAAACCCAAUUCUUUUACUAGUUUCGUUUCUGCAUUUGGUUUGCAAGAGUAUUGAUGAGAGUUCAAGUGUUGAAACGAAUCUUGUCAUAUCUUGGAAGGGUCAUUACACCAAUAGCAAUAAACACACACACUGGUUGAAUAUCACUACUUUAUUGUUAGUCAAUAGGUUAAAUAUCUAACCAGCUAAUUGAUUGUUUGUUUAAUGUUCUGGUUAAACAACGAAAGUCUGAAGAGAGAGGACAAGUCAUUGAGAAGUCAUGAAUAGCAAUGAAAGAACUUUGAAAAAUAAAUAACCAAUUGACUGUUUAACCAGCUCAUUAAACAAACAGUCGAUUAGUUAGCUGGUUAGAUAUUUAGCUAAUUCACUAACAAUAAAGAAGUGGAAUUGAACCCACGUAUGUGUUAUUAUUACUGGUGUAAUGACCUUCACAAACACAAGAUUAUUACUAGUUAUUGUUAUUAUAAUUAUAUUUAUUUUAACAGCCAUAACCAUAAUACUGUUUAUUACAAUUAGUAUAAAUAAGAUAUUUGCCAGUACUUUAUUAAUCAAAUAAAAAGCUUUACAGUUACAAUUUAAAUUGAUAUUUUGGGCCCACGGCUAUAGUAGGAUACAUUUGCCCAAGAUAUCAUUCAAGUUUUUUUUUACUAUAGCCUAGGACUGACAAAUAAGUUUGGUUACCAGAAACUGAAAGACACCAGUUAUGUGUGUACACAUAUUCAUAUCUGUGUGUGUGUGUGUGUGUGUGUGUGCAUGUGUGUAUUAGGGUGGAGCGAAAAAUGUAACUUUCGAAACUGGUAACCAAGAAUCGAUAUUUUGUUGCAAAUUAGAAUUAAAAGAAAUGCAUAUAAAGAACUUUGCAGUUAAAUUUUUUUUCAGGCUCCACAAUGCAAUUGAAAAUUUUAAAAAUCGCUAUUUUUGGUCAAAUUUUGAAUUUCAUGGAUUAUAAGUCAUAACAAAUACACGUUUCUACAUAGCAGAAUGCUAAACAGUACAAAUAGUAUCCUUAAGAGGUUGCAUACCAAGUUUGAAUACAAUUGACUAAUAUUUUGAGGUUCUGCACUGACUAUAAAGAGAACGGAAGGGUGAACUGCUCUCCAGUACCGCUGCAAUAGUCGUUAUGUGUGGGUGUAUGUUGUACGUGUGUGAAGUUUUCUGGUUUGUACCUUGACUUUAGGCCAUUGUAUUAAAAUUAAUGAUCGUGUUAAAUUUAGUCUUGUUUACAUUUAGUGAUGACUCAUAAGCCAAUAACAGGUCAUGAUAUUGAAUGCCGAAUAUUUGGUAUUCCAUGUGAUCUUAACGAGCGAGUUUUGCCAACUUACAAGGAUAUACUAACACCAACUACUUUACAGAGUGUACUGGGUGCUUUUAUGCAGCACUAGCACAGGUGCUUUUUACACAGCACUAGCACUUACAAGCCCAAAAGAUUAAGGAUGCUCAACUGGUGGGGGUUGCAAGGGACAAGCCUGCAUGCAAGGGCAACCACGCUUUUACUUAGCUUGACAUGUCUUUUCAAGCACAACAUCUAUUUUCCAUGCUGGUAAGGUGCAUUCCAGGGUUUUGAGACUUUCUUAGAAAAAGUAGUAAUAAAUGUCCAAGAUUACUGUAAUUUUUGUGUAUCAUUACUAUACAUCUAAGAAGCCAACCUGCCAAUUCUUGUUGCCCCAUUGAAGUAGAUACCUGUAGGAGCACUUUGAAAACACACCCUACCAAACACUGCUUGUCACAUCUGACUAGUUUGCAGAAUGCAGUCAGGACAUUUAGAAACUUUAUAUAAUGAAGUUUUGUAUCAAACUGGAAAAAUAAUAUUACAGACACUUACAGAGUUGGUUGAGAAAAUUCAUAGUUUUCUGAAUGAAGACUGCCAUAUGUCUAUAAAAACAGUUUGAAGUUGGUGUCACAACUGUACACAAUUAUUUAUGCAAAGUUUAUUUCCAGGGUGCUCAGUGAUGAGAAUCCUGGCAACCAACUACUUAAUAGAGAUGGUCAUUGAAACUGUCCCUUAUUCUCCCUACAAUCCAGAUCUUGUUCUCUGUAGCUUUCGGUUGUUCCCCAGGCUGAGGGAGAACUUCAGAGGCAGUCCGUUUUGAAGGUAGAGGAUGCUGUGACAAGGGUCCUGGACACCUUCGCUUUGGGAAAUUUCCAUGGAGCCAUCACAAAGUGGCUGAAGUGCUACAAGUGUAGGAAAGUCAGAGGAUCCUGUGUCUCUCCUGAAAAAGUCUACAAACUUCUGGGAUACACCUUGUACAUCAUCAGCACCAGAAGCAGCAGCAUUUAGCAUCUGUCUUCCAUGCUACCAAAGGUUGGACAGUUUGACAGGAGUUAGUAAAUGGGAGAACUGCACCAAAUUCCACUGCUUAUUUUGGCUUGGUUUCUAUGGCUGGAUGCUAUUCUUAAUGCCAACCACUUUACAGAAUGAGCUGGGUGCUUUUUACAUGGCACCAGCACCAGUGAGAUCACCAAGGAGCCUGCAAGACAAAGACCCUUUGAAAAUGGGUCAAUAUUGAAGAAGGUGGCUUUGUGCUAGGUGAUGAGAUGUUAGAGUAUGACAGAGGAACUGAAACAAGUAGAGGAGAUACAUGGUUAUCCCAGUCAGAAAGAGAGAAAGAGAGAGGGAGGAGAGAGAGCAAGAAUGAGAGAAAGUGAGAGUAAGAGAGACCAAGCAAGAGAGAGAACAAGACUGAAAGUGAGUGAGAGAGAUGGUGGUAAUGUGCCAGGACAUGCUUCUAAGGUACAAGAAUGAGAAUAUAAAUGGGAUGGUAAACGACUGUCCGGGGUGCAUGAGUAAGGAGUUCACAUGAAUGCAAAGGGGUGGGGCGGAGUAAUAUUAUUCAUCAUAUGAAAUAAUAAAAAUAAAUAUAAUUUAAUAAACCAAAAAAUAACGACAAAAAAAACAAAAUAUAACUGAUAAAAUGAUAGUAGAUAUUUUUUCUUCAUUUGAUGAUCAUAAUUCAACAACCUUAUACCUUCAUUCUCUUACAUGAAUUCUAUCCUUAUGAUCUCUCUUUUUUAUUAAUUCUUCAUUCUGAAUUUUCCCUUCAUUUUUUAAUUCCUCUCUAAUAAUCGAGUGGGGAAACCUGGGAAUGUAGAGAGGAUGGCAACAGGAUGGCAAUGAUACAGUUGGCAGGGCAGGAAGGACAGAAUUGGGCAGUAGGAGUGGGGAGGGGAAGUUAAGUAUAGUGCAUGAAGGAGGGAUGCAUUUUGGUUUAUUGGGGUGUGAAAAACUUAAUGUUAUAUGUGGGUAGAACACACAGCACUUCCCAGAACUCACACACACACACACAUUGCCAAGUGGUUAGGGUGUUUCAGUUCCUGGAUCAGAUGGUGCCUGAACAGAUCAUAUGAAAUUUGCUGAAGUGUAUGUGUAAAUAUAUAUCCAGGCACAGGUGUGGCUGUGUGGUAAGAAGCUUACUUCCCAACCACAUGGUUCCAGGUUCACUCCCACUGUGUAGCACCAUGGGCAAGUGUCUUCUGCUAUAGCCUUGGGCCAACCGAAGCCUUGUGAGUGGAUUUAGUAGAUAGAAACUGAAAGAAGCCCAUUGCAUAUGUGUGUGUGUAUCUAUGUGCAUGUGUCUCUGUGUCUGUCCUUGUCCCCCACUUCAACACUUGACAACCAAUGUUGGUGUGUUUAUGUCCCUGUAACUUAGUGGUUCAGCAAAAGAGAAUGAUAGAAUAAGUGCCAGGCUUACAAAGAAUAAGUUAUGUGGUUGAUAUCUUUGACUAAAAGGUGGCAAGAAAGAAUAUAUAUAUAUAUAUAUAUAUAUAUAUAUAUAUAUAUAUAUAUAUAUAUAUAUAUAUACAACAUGCAUACACAUAUUCUUUAUUCUUAUAUUUGGAGCACCACCUUGAAUUUUUAGUCAAAUGAACUGACACCAGUACUUCUUUUUUUUUUUCUUUUUAAGAAGUGGUGCUUAUUCUGUCAGUCUCUUUUACUGAACUGCUAAGUUAUGGAGGACACAAACACACCAGUUGUCAAGCAGUGGUGGAGAGACAAACGCAGACAUAAAGACACACACACAUUGAUAUAUAGACAUAUAUAUAUAUCAUCAUCAUCAUCGUUUAAUGUCUGUUUUCCGUGCUAGCACGGGUUGGACAGAAACGAGAUACCACUGCCCCGGGUGAGGCCCGAACUCACAACCUCUGCAUUAUAAGUACGGCGUGCUAAUAUAUAUAUGUAUACAACAGACUUCUUUCAGUUUCCAUCUACUAAAUCCACUCACAAGGAUUUGGUCAACCCAAGGCUAUUGUAAAAGACACUUGCCCAAGGUGUCACACAGUGGGACUGAACCUGGAAAUGUGAUUGGGAAGAAGGCAUCUUACCACACAGCCAUGUCUGUGCCAAUGUAUACAAUAGUACUCAUAUCGAGAAAACUUCAUCAGCCCGUAUGCCCACUUCAUCAUGAGCAGCUCACUAAUACUAAGGAUCACAUUCUUAACAUAGCUAAGACCACCCUGAUGACUGGCCUUUCUCUUUAACCCCCAACAAUUAUUGAUGCCCUACAAAGCUCAAGUGAGGACUAAAAUGGAUCAUUGCACUCACAUCUGGGACAGUGAUACUUCUGCACACACAAGCAUCAUAAACUACAUCCACUCAACUGAUUGGCAUGAAGUUACUAGCAGACACACACCAACCUCUAACUCACCAGUUGCACUGUCUUUUCUUCCUAGCUUUCCCAGAUUGCUGGCCCUUUGAAAUUCACCCCCUACUCCUAUCUUUCAGAUGUCAACAGACAAUGGUCCAAGAGGAACAUUAAUGGUAUCAAUCUAACCACUUUAAGAGAGUCUGCAAAGGCCAUAGGAACAACUUAUUUCACCAGACCCAGCAAACAGAAGAAAAAGACACUGUUCAACAACCAUAUUGUGGCCUCCCUUCCUUGUGUCGUCUGCUUAUUGUCAUGCUCAAUUCCAAAUGCCUGGAGGGGGUAAACCUUUAAAAAAAAUGAAAUUUUGAAGGACAAUUUUUUCUAAACGCCAAAUCUCUAAAUUUCAAAAUACCUAAUUCAAACAAGAUAAGAAUUUUUAUAAAAAAUUGAAAGCAAAAAAUUUGGAGUGGUUGAAUGGAAACUAAAAUUUUGAAAUGCUGAAUUUUGGGCAAAAUCGUCGAGUCCAUUGUUGAAAGCAUAAGAAUGUGAAAAAAAAAUUCGAUAACAAGGGUAACUAUUGGUAGAGUGAAUAUCCAACACGUCUGCUGGAAGUAAAAAGUAAAAAGUAUGUUCGAGGUCGGACAUCAUACAGAGGUUUUUUUUUUUCUAAAAAAUUUAAUAAAGGGAGAGCAGCAAAUAUUGACAAGCCAUGUUUGUCUAGUGAUUAUCGUUCUUUAUCCUGUCUCGUAUGCUUGAUGUACAAAUAAAAAUAAUAUUUUCUACUAUAAGCAGGAGGCCUAAAAUUUUAGGGAAGGGGACUAGUCGAUUACAUUGACCUCAGUAUUUCACUGUUACUUUAUUCAUCGACCCAGAAAAGAUGAAAGGCAAAGUCGACCUCGGUGGAAUUUGAACUCAGAACGUAGCGACUGGCGAAAUACCGCUAAGCAUUUCGUCCAGCGUGCUAACGAUUCUGCCAGCUCGCCAAAAUAACUUGAGGUUCGUAACGAGGUGAAAUAGGAAAUUAUCGCUUGGGUAUUCCUUUUCCCUAGCGACAUUAAUAAAAUAAAAUGACAACUCGAUCUUUCCAAAAAGGAGAAAAAUUCACAUGUUCGGAGUAUAUACAUUAUUUAUAACUUACAAAAUAUAAAGUUAUCUCAAAUAGACUACAAACCAGAAAAGUAUUUUAACACACGCACAAACGUGUGUAUGUGUUAAUUAUACUCAUAUAUGUUGAAAGCUAAUCUAAUGUGAACGAAGAAUGCAAAACAGAUACAUAUUUUUUUAGAAAAAAAAUACUCUUGAUCCUCGAGGAUCUACAAUACUCC
rnacentral:lncRNA from 1 species